CCUUAUUUUGCGCGCGUUAAUCGGAAUCACUGGGCGUAAAGCGCACGUAGGCGGUGUCGUAAGUCGGAUGUGAAAGCCCUCGGCUCAACCGGGGAACUGCAUUCGAUACUGCGAUGCUUGAGUGCCGGAGAGGGUGGCGGAAUUCCAGGUGUAGGAGUGAAAUCCGUAGAUAUCUGGAGGAACACCAGUGGCGAAGGCGGCCACCUGGCCGGCAACUGACGCUGAGGUGCGAAAGCGUGGGGAUCAAAAAG
rnacentral:rRNA from 1 species